UGGGGAAUAUUGGACAAUGGGCGAAAGCCUGAUCCAGCCAUGCCGCGUGUGUGAAGAAGGUCUUCGGAUUGUAAAGCACUUUAAGUUGGGAGGAAGGGCAGUAAGCGAAUACCUUGCUGUUUUGACGUUACCGACAGAAUAAGCACCGGCUAACUCUGUGCCAGCAGCCGCGGUAAUACAGAGGGUGCAAGCGUUAAUCGGAAUUACUGGGCGUAAAGCGCGCGUAGGUGGUUCGUUAAGUUGAAUGUGAAAGCCCCGGGCUCAACCUGGGAACUGCAUCCAAAACUGGCGGGCUAGAGUAGGGCAGAGGGUGGUGGAAUGUCCUGUGUAGCGGUGAAAUGCGUAGAUAUAGGAAGGAACACCAGUGGCGAAGGCGACCACCUGGGCUCAUACUGACACUGAGGUGCGAAAGCGUGGGGAGCAAACAGG
rnacentral:rRNA from 1 species